AAAUUGAAGAGUUUGAUCAUGGCUCAGAUUGAACGCUGGCGGCAGGCCUAACACAUGCAAGUCGAACGGUAACAGGAAGAAGCUUGCUUCUUUGCUGACGAGUGGCGGACGGGUGAGUAAUGUCUGGGAAGCUGCCUGAUGGAGGGGGAUAACUACUGGAAACGGUAGCUAAUACCGCAUAA
rnacentral:rRNA from 1 species